rnacentral:lncRNA from 1 species
UCGAUUAAUACGUCCCUUUGCCGAAUCUAAACGCAAAUUUAACAACAAAAUGGGCUAAAUAAGUAAAUUGAACCCCCCUUAUCUAGCGUUUAAUGGCUUACCUCCAAACAAAACAGUUGAACACUGCAAAACUUAACUUGUCGAAUGAUCAACCACCUCGUGAACUUCUCCUAAAAGAAAUUAACGAUUAACAUGACACACCACACUCGAUUAAAAAACCAAACAAAAAUAAAGAAAAAUAAGAAGAACCAUAUCACUUACUAAAGAACGAAUUGGCUAAAAAUUGACCACACACCCCACCAAAAUUGUAUGAAAAACGGCACUAACCAAAAGAAAUAAAGAAAAAUUUGCAAAUGAUUAAGAAAGAAAAACAAAUUCAGAAAAUCUGGUACUGGUUCCACGUGAAGUAAUUUGGGUAGAAUAAAAUAAAAUCUGGUACUGGUUCCACGUGAAGAAAACAAAUAAAGCAUUAAAAAUAAAAUCAAAACCAACCCAACUACUUAAUUCCUAUUAGAUUACUCAAAGACCGAUUUAAUUUAAAUCCAACCACUAACAAGCCAACUUGAAAAAAACAAACAAAAAUAUAGCAAAAUCUUCCCACUUUGUUCACUUUGAGACUCG